rnacentral:rRNA from 1 species
AUUGAACGCUGGCGGCAGGCCUAACACAUGCAAGUCGAACGAGUGGCGGACGGGUGAGUAAUGUCUGGGAAACUGCCCGAUGGAGGGGGAUAACUACUGGAAACGGUAGCUAAUACCGCAUACCAGCGGGUGUGCCCAGAUGGGAUUAGCUAGUAGUUUGGGUAAAGGCUCACCUAGGCGACGAUCCCUAGCUGGUCUGAGAGGAUGACCAGCCACACUGGAACGGAGACACGGUCCAGACUCCGACGGGCGGCAGCAGUGGGGAAUAUUGCACAAUGGGCGCAAGCCUGAUGCAGCCAUGCCGCGUGUAUGAAGAAGGCCGUCGGGUUGUAAAGUACUUUCAGCGGGGAGGCGUUACCCGCAGAAGAAGCACCGGCUAACUCCGUGCCAGCAGCCGCGGUAAUUC